AAGUGUCAAUCAAGUGGGUUACACAAUUCAAUAAAGUCCCUAAAUCGUUAUCGUGCGUGUUUUACAGCUCUACCUGUUGUAGUUGAAAGAUCAGUCGAAAUAGAUUAGAAUACAUUCUUUUUAAAAGUAAAUUAAAAAAGACGACCCCAAUCAUACAUAUAUAUAAAGGGUUAUAACACUUUAUAUAAAUCUAUGACCCCAAUGACAGCUUCCGGUUAUUAACACAUCACUUCCUUAAAACGCUUUACGCAGUUUUGAUUUCGGCAUCUUCACAAAGCGAGGUAAGCCAUUGUGAAUUCUAAACUCAACACACCAUGCUUUCUUGAGUUUGACUGGAUGGUCAUAGUUAUAUCCAUCGUUACUGAAUGAAGGACCAGAAUGCCUCGAAGAUUGUCAGCGUUGUUCUCCAGAUGGAUUUAGCCCUUGUAGUAUCCCUAUAAAAUAAAAAUGAUCUUAUUGUUGGUGAAGUAA